UCUCGAUAGGUGAAGAACUCUGGAAUGAGUCUUUGCCAAAAAGAUGCUAGAGUUAUGCUCUUUGGCAUCGCCCAAGGAUGAGGCCGCGACCGAUCAGGUUGUUGGUGAGGUAAUGGCUCACCAAGCCUUUUACCGGUGCGGGCCGUGAGAGCGGGAGCCCGGAGAUGGGCACUGAGACAAGGGCCCAGGCCCUACGGGGCGCAGCAGUCGCGAAAACUUUGCAAUACACGAAAGUGUGACAGGGCUAUCCCGAGUGCCAUCCGCUGAGGAAGGCUUUUACCCAGUCUAGAACGCUGGGGGAAUAAGGAGAGGGCAAGUCUGGUGUCAGCCGCCGCGGUAAUACCAGCUCUCCGAGUGGUGUGGAUGUUUAUUGGGCCUAAAGCAUCCGUAGCUGGCUAAGUUAGUCCCUUGUUAAAUCCACCGAAUUAAUCGUUGGAUUGCGGGGGAUACUGCUUGGCUAGGGGACGAGAGAGGCAGACGGUAUUUCCGGGGUAGGGGUGAAAUCCUAUAAUCCCGGGAAGACCACCAGUGGCGAAGGCUGUCUGCUAGAACGCGCCCGACGGUGAGGGAUGAAAGCUGGGGGAGCGAACCGGAUUAGAUACCCGGGUAGUCCCAGCUGUAAACGAUGCAGGCUAGGUGUUUGGACGGCCACGUGCCGUUCUAGUGCCGCAGGGAAGCUGUUAAGCCUGCCGCCUGGGGAGUACGAUCGCAAGAUUG
rnacentral:rRNA from 1 species